UUGGAGGGCAAGUCUGGUGCCAGCAGCCGCGGUAAUUCCAGCUCCAAUAGCGUAUAUUAAAGUUGUUGCAGUUAAAAAGCUCGUAGUUGAAUUUCGAGAUCAGUACGCUGGUCGUGCCUUCGGUAUGCACUGGUGUCACUGGUUUCUCCCUUCUGAAGAACCGUCAUGCCAUUCAGUUGGUGUGGCGGGGAAUCAGGACUGUUACUUUGAAAAAAUUAGAGUGUUUAAAGCAGGC
rnacentral:rRNA from 1 species